CUGAUGCCCGCUGCCACCAGAAUUAAAGGAAGAAGAAAGGCGGAGAAGGCGUUCGAUCGAUGAGAUGUUUUUGAACAGCACAUGUUCAUCGUCAAGCCAAGUCACACACAGUGAUUGAUACCAGACAAAGCUGGUGGUGUCCUGCGCUAUAAAUUCUCACACAUGGCUCCUCGGCAGACUUCCAUGGCCGUGUGCGCUUUGACCAUGGGAUGCUGGAAGAGCUUCUCCAUUAUUGAUGUCCAUGUUACCUUCUACAUGAUUGCCUUCAAAACAUGAGCUGCAACGCAGAUUAAUGACAGCAUGUUGUACUUGAGCCAAAGCUGUGAUGUCAUGGAAUGUAAUCUCCCACACAGGGAACCUUCUCAUGACUGCUGUUCUUGGCGAAAACAGAGCACAAGGAAAUAAUUGCUGCAAGCUUGUAGGUAACUUUGGGUUUCA